AUUGAACGCUGGCGGCAUGCUUUACACAUGCAAGUCGAACGGUAACAGGUUAAGCUGACGAGUGGCGAACGGGUGAGUAAUGCAUCGGAACGUGCCCAGUCGUGGGGGAUAACGCAGCGAAAGCUGUGCUAAUACCGCAUACGAUCUAUGGAUGAAAGCGGGGGACCGUAAGGCCUCGCGCGAUUGGAGCGGCCGAUGUCAGAUUAGCUAGUUGGUGGGGUAAAGGCCCACCAAGGCGACGAUCUGUAGCUGGUCUGAGAGGACGACCAGCCACACUGGAACUGAGACACGGUCCAGACUCCUACGGGAGGCAGCAGUGGGGAAUAUUGCACAAUGGACGAAAGUCUGAUGCAGCAACGCCGCGUGGAGGAUGACACAUUUCGGUGCGUAAAACUCCUUUUAUAUGGGAAGAUAAUGACGGUACCAUAUGAAUAAGCACCGGCUAAAC
rnacentral:rRNA from 1 species